UACGGAGGGUGCAAGCGUUGUUCGGAUUUAUUGGGCGUAAAGGGCGUGUAGGCGGUUCGUUAAGUCUGUUGUGAAAGCCCCGGGCUCAACCUGGGAAUGGCAAUGGAUACUGGCAAGCUAGAGUGCGGUAGAGGGUAGUGGAAUUCCCGGUGUAGCGGUGAAAUGCGUAGAGAUCGGGAGGAACACCAGUGGCGAAGGCGGCUACCUGGACCAGCACUGACACUGAGGCACGAAAGCGUGGGGAGCAAACAGG
rnacentral:rRNA from 1 species